CAGACAGUGGGCUCAGUGGGAAGAGUAGUUGUCUUGCAAUCAGAAGGUUGUGGGUUUGAUUCCAGCUCCCUCCUGACUGG